AGCGAUUCCUGCACACCUGUGAGCAGUGCCCUGCUGCAGGGCAUGGAGCUUUGGAAGCAGGUGAGCAGUCAGAGGAAGUAAGUCACCAGCUCCCUGCUUGUGGCCUGGGGAAGCAGUAGAGGAUGGCCCAAAGCCCUUGUACUUUGCACCUGUGUGGGAGACCUGGAGGAAGCUCCUGGUUCCUGGCUUCAGAUCAGCUCAGCUUUGGCGGUUAUGGCUAAUUGCGGAGUGAACCAAUGGAUGGAAGAUCUUUCUCUCUGUCUAUGCUUCUCUCUGUAAAUCUAACUUUGCAAUAAAAAUAAAUAAAUCUUUAAAAAA